rnacentral:rRNA from 1 species
CCUGGCUCAGGAUGAACGCUGGCGGCGUGCCUAAUACAUGCAAGUCGAGCGAAUGGAUUAAGAGCUUGCUCUUAUGAAGUUAGCGGCGGACGGGUGAGUAACACGUGGGUAACCUGCCCAUAAGACUGGGAUAACUCCGGGAAACCGGGGCUAAUACCGGAUAACAUUUUGAACCGCAUGGUUCGAAAUUGAAAGGCGGCUUCGGCUGUCACUUAUGGAUGGACCCGCGUCGCAUUAGCUAGUUGGUGAGGUAACGGCUCACCAAGGCAACGAUGCGUAGCCGACCUGAGAGGGUGAUCGGCCACACUGGGAUGAGACACGGCCCAGACUCCUACGGGAGGCAGCAGUAGGAUCUUCCGCAAGGAGAAAGUCUGAGGAGCAACGCCGCGUGAGUGAGAAGCUUUCGGGUCGUAAAAUCUGU